UCGAAGGUAGCAUAAUCAGUAGUCUUUUAAUUGAAGGCUUGUAUGAAUGGUUGGACGAAAUAUUAACUGUUUCAUUUAAAAUUUUUAUAGAAUUUUAUUUUUUAGUCAAAAAGCUAAAAUAUUAUUAAAAGACGAGAAGACCCUAUAAAUCUUAAUAUUUAUAUUGUUUUAAUCAUAUAGAUUUAUUAGAUUAUAAUUUUUAUAGAUAUUUUAUUGGGGUGAUAUUAAAAUUUAAUAAACUUUUAAUUUUUAAAUAACAUUAAUUUAUGAAUAAUUGAUCCAUUAAUAAUGAUUAGAAAUUUAAGUUACUUUAGGGAUAACAGCGUAAUUUUUUUGGAGAGUUCAUAUUGAUAAAAAAGAUUGCGACCUCGAUGUUGGAUUAA
rnacentral:rRNA from 1 species